rnacentral:rRNA from 1 species
AAACCAGCACCUCAAGUGGUCAGGAGGAUUAUUGGGCCUAAAGCAUCCGUAGCCUGUUCUAUAAGUUUCCGGUUAAAUCCACUAGCUCAACUAGUGGGCUGCCGAAAAUACUGUAGAACUAGGGAGUGGGAGAGGUAGACGGUACUCGGUAGGAAGGGGUAAAAUCCUUUGAUCUAUUGAUGACCACCUGUGGCGAAGGCGGUCUACCAGAACACGUUCGACGGUGAGGGAUGAAAGCUGGGGGAGCAAACCGGAUUAGAAACCCCAGUAGUCC